rnacentral:rRNA from 1 species
UACGGGGGGGGCAAGCGUUGUUCGGAAUUACUGGGCGUAAAGGGCUCGUAGGUGGCCAACUAAGUCGGACGUGAAAUCCCUCAGCUUAACUGGGGAACUGCGUCCGAUACUGGAUGGCUUGAGUUUGGGAGAGGGAUGCGGAAUUCCAGGUGUAGCGGUGAAAUGCGUAGAUAUCUGGAGGAACACCGGUGGCGAAGGCGGCAUCCUGGACCAACACUGACACUGAGGAGCGAAAGCAUGGAGCAAACGG